rnacentral:rRNA from 1 species
AACGACUCUCGACAACGGAUAUCUCGGCUCUCGCAUCGAUGAAGAACGUAGCGAAAUGCGAUACUUGGUGUGAAUUGCGGAAUCCCGUGAACCAUCGAGUCUUUGAACGCAAGUUGCGCCCGAAGCCAUUAGGUUGAGGGCACGUCUGCCUGGGUGUCACGU